CCUGCACUAAAUUUAAGUGAAGACUGCUACAUGGAGGCCAUGCGGCCACCAGGACAAGCUACUCCCUACCUUUUUUUUUUUUUUUAAACAUACAAGACAAAGCCUUGUGAAUCAGAAGAUUAUUUCAACAGAGCAUCUGAUUCAAAAAGCUGUACAAAUAUACACACAGUUUCAACAGUCACACCAAUCUCCUUAUCACCAGCAACACAUUGCGCAGUCACUAGGCCCAAACACACACAC